rnacentral:rRNA from 1 species
AUUGAACGCUGGCGGCAUGCCUUACACAUGCAAGUCGAACGGCAGCAUGAUCUAGCUUGCUAGAUUGAUGGCGAGUGGCGAACGGGUGAGUAAUACAUCGGAACGUGCCCUGUAGUGGGGGAUAACUAGUCGAAAGAUUAUCUAAUACCGCAUACGACCUGAGGGUGAAAGUGGGGGACCGCAAGGCCUCAUGCUAUAGGAGCGGCCGAUGUCUGAUUAGCUAGUUGGUGGGGUAAAGGCCCACCAAGGCGACGAUCAGUAGCUGGUCUGAGAGGACGAUCAGCCACACUGGGACUGAGACACGGCCCAGACUCCUACGGGAGGCAGCAGUGGGGAAUUUUGGACAAUGGGGGCAACCCUGAUCCAGCAAUGCCGCGUGUGUGAAGAAGGCCUUCGGGUUGUAAAGCACUUUUGUCCGGAAAGAAAUCGCACUUACUAAUAUUAGGUGUGGAUGACGGUACCGGAAGAAUAAGGACCGGCUAACUACGUG